rnacentral:ncRNA from 1 species
UAGCGAUACUUUAAUAAGGAAUUAGGAUAGGCCUAAGCUGUACCAGCAACUGUGAAACUGACGAAAUCAAUAUGCCAUUGGGAAACUGAGAAGGCUGAUUAAGGAUGAAGUGAAGCCAGGAGACUUGCCUAAAUAUUAU